rnacentral:lncRNA from 1 species
CAUCAAUGCGAAAAUCCUCAAUAAGGACUCAUCAAAAAGAUCACCACUGGGAAUCUUGACCUUUGUUGAAAAGGGAAGAGAAAGAGAAGCUUAAUGAGCACAUUGAAGCACUUACCAGAAAGAAGAGGGAAGACUUCUGGAUGAAACCUCUGUGAGUACCUUAACAUUCACGUGGAAGUAGUAAAAAUAAGAUUCUGGGUGCAGUUCUCCAAUGACAGGAAAAAAAAAACAAAGAGAAUUUGAAGAAUACGUCAGAGACAAAUACGUUACAACCAAAGUUGACUUCAAGGCACUUUUGAAGGAGAUCAAAUUUAUAACAAAUAAUAUAGUGAAAGUAAAAGCUUGUGGAAGAUGUUGGAAUCAUCCAUCCUGAAAAUUGAAGCCUUCUGUUCAUCAACAGAACAGCUAAGAAGCUAAUCUAAGAAUGACCAGCACCUGAAAGAUGUAGACAACAUUUUGCAGAAUGAUAAAUGGUAUCGAGUACUGGACUGUGCCUGAGAGGCAUCAACUGAAUGUGGAUGUUGAUGACCUGGACUGUCAGGGUCCACCUCUACCUCCCAGAGCCUCAGAGCCCACAAGACAAAAU